rnacentral:misc_RNA from 1 species
GAUGAAGAACGCAGCGAAAUGCGAUAAGUAAUGUGAAUUGCAGAAUUCAGUGAAUCAUCGAGUCUUUGAACGCACAUUGCGCCCCCUGGUAUUCCGGGGGGCAUGCCUGUCCGAGCGUCAUUGCUGCCCUCAAGCACGGCUUGUGUGUUGGGCCCCCGUCCCCGGUUUCCCCCGGGGACGGGCCCGAAAGGCAGCGGCGGCACCGCGUCCGGUCCUCGAGCGUAUGGGGCUUUGUCACCCGCUCUGUAGGCCCGGCCGGCGCCAGCCGACACCCAACUUUAUUUCUAAGGUUGACCUCGGAUCAGGUAGGGAUACCCGCUGAACUUAAGCAUAUCAAUAAGCGGAGG